AUUGUUGCAGUUGAAAGCUCGUAGUUGAAUUUCUGCCGCAUCGCGGCGGCCCUCCCGGGCCCAGCGUUGCGGCUUAUUUCGGACUCGCUUGCGUCUCCGAAUGUUUACUUUGAGAAAAUUAGAGUGCUCAAAGCAGGCCCUUGCCUUGAAUACUUUAGCAUGGAAUAAUAAAGUAGGACUUUGGUUCUAUUUUGUUGGUUUAGCGCCAAAGUAAUGGUUAAUAGGAACAGUUGGGGGCAUUCGUAUUUAACUGUCAGAGGUGAAAUUCUUAGUAUUUGUUAAAGACAAACUACUGCG
rnacentral:rRNA from 1 species